GACGAACGCUGGCGGCGUGCUUAACACAUGCAAGUCGAACGGAAAGGCCCUGCUUUUGUGGGGUGCUCGAGUGGCGAACGGGUGAGUAACACGUGAGUAACCUGCCCUUGACUUUGGGAUAACUUCAGGAAACUGGGGCUAAUACCGGAUAGGAGCUCCUGCUGCAUGGUGGGGGUUGGAAAGUUUCGGCGGUUGGGGAUGGACUCGCGGCUUAUCAGCUUGUUGGUGGGGUAGUGGCUUACCAAGGCUUUGACGGGUAGCCGGCCUGAGAGGGUGACCGGCCACAUUGGGACUGAGAUACGGCCCAGACUCCUACGGGAGGCAGCAGUGGGGAAUAUUGCACAAUGGGCGGAAGCCUGAUGCAGCAACGCCGCGUGCGGGAUGACGGCCUUCGGGGUGUAAACCGCUUUCGCCUGUGACGAAGCGUGAGUGACGGUAAUGGGUAAAGAGGCACCGGCUAACUACG
rnacentral:rRNA from 1 species